AUCAAUUUAGAUCUUCUCCUUUUAUAUGUGACCCCAUAGGUUUAAUUCUAUUUGGUAGUGAGACAUACUAUAAUAUCUAUCAUAGGUAUCACUGAAAUCUUUUUCAGUGGGUCGAAAUAGUUUCAUUCUGACGUAACAAGGAUCAUUGAUCCAAAACGAUCCUAUUGAGUUCUCACAAUUCAUCAGUGCUAUCUAACAAUAUAUAAUGGCAACCC
rnacentral:lncRNA from 1 species